UACGUAGGGUGCAAGCGUUAAUCGGAAUUACUGGGCGUAAAGCGUGCGCAGGCGGUUUUGCAAGUCAGAUGUGAAAUCCCCGGGCUUAACCUGGGAAUGGCAUUUGUGACUGCACGGCUAGAGUGUGUCAGAGGGGGGUAGAAUUCCACGUGUAGCAGUGAAAUGCGUAGAUAUCGGGAGGAACACCAGUGGCGAAGGCGAUCACCUGGGGAUGUUCUGACGCUGAGGAGCGAAAGCUAGGGGAGCAAACGGG
rnacentral:rRNA from 1 species